rnacentral:rRNA from 1 species
CCUACGGGAGGCAGCAGUGAGGGAUAUUGGUCAAUGGGGGAAACCCUGAACCAGCAACGCCGCGUGAGGGAUGACGGUUUUCGGAUUGUAAACCUCUGUCCUCUGUGAAGAUAAUGACGGUAGCAGUGGAGGAAGCUCCGGCUAACUACGUGCCAGCAGCCGCCGUAAUACGUAGGGAGCGAGCGUUGUCCGGAUUUACUGGGUGUAAAGGGUGCGUAGGUGGCCAUGCAAGUCAGAAGUGAAAUCCAUGGGCUUAACCCGUGAACUGCCUUUGAAACUGCAGGACUUGAGUGGAGUAGAGGUAGGCGGAAUGCGCGGUGUAGCGGUGAAAUGCGUAGAGAUCGGGAAGAACACCAGUGGCGAAGGCAGCCUACUGGGCUUUAACUGACGCUGAAGCACGAAAGCGUGGGUAGCAAACAGGAUUAGAUACCCGGGUAGUC